rnacentral:sRNA from 1 species
UGAUGGAUGUGAAGUCAAUCUGCUCGCAGGGUCCACUCAUGGUUUCCCUGAUUGCUGAGGUGGGUGUCUCUUCCUGCACCACUACUCAAUGUGUGUCUGAAGAUGUGUGCUUGGUCAAAGAUGAAGACCUGUCCUGAAGAGAGAGGGACUUUUUCAAGUGGAGUUACAUGAGUCGCUGUGCUCUGUUGUGAAGACCUUGAAAGAAGCUCUCAAGAAAUCCCCCUGGUCCACACCUAUACAUCUUAACUGGUGAGUGGUCUAUAAAACAAAACAUCAGUAUUCUCAGAGCCAUUUCAUAGCCACUCCCAUGGAUUGGUAUCGUG